rnacentral:rRNA from 1 species
GAUGAACGCUAGCGGCAGGCCUAACACAUGCAAGUCGAGGGGCAUCGCGGUGCAGCAAUGCACUGGCAGCGACCGGCGUACGGGUGCGUAACGCGUAUGCAACCUGCCCCGCACCGGGGGAUAGCCCGCCGAAAGGCGGAUUAAUACCCCAUGGUCCCGGGGGCCCGCAUGGGCAUCCGGGUAAAGCCUUGGCGGUGCGGGAUGGGCAUGCGUGCCAUUAGCUGGCUGGUGGGGUAACGGCCCACCAGGGCAACGAUGGCUAGGGGGUCUGAGAGGAUGGUCCCCCACACUGGUACUGAGACACGGACCAGACUCCUACGGGAGGCAGCAGUGAGGAAUAUUGGUCAAUGGGCGGAAGCCUGAACCAGCCAUGCCGCGUGCGGGAUGAAGGCCCUACGGGUUGUAAACCGUCUUUUCCCCGGGAAGAAUAACGCCCCCGCGGGGGGUGAUGCCGGUACCGGGGGAAUAAGGAUCGGCUAACUCCGUG